rnacentral:misc_RNA from 1 species
UGCUCCCCUCACUUUCGAUCAAGUUUCGCUCCACGAGCUAUGUGGAUGCAAAAAGCGGGUUCCUGUGCUGCAUACCUAUCGCGACGGAAAUUUGUGCCUAUUGUUUGUCCAUUUCAACGCGACACCCUCUUUGGGUGCUCGGUUGGAUCAGAUAGUGGGGCUUGCGUUCCUCGAGCACAUCUCUUUUGAUUGUUCGCACGGAACGUGAGUGCUUCACUUGUUCUCUCGGAUGCGGAACGUUUUUCGUGGGUUCUAGGGUCAUUGGCCCUUGUUCCCAAUCUGAAGCGUUUAUCGCUCUUCAACGAAAUGACGCUCUUGCCUUGUCUUUUGACCUCGUGUAGCUCUCGGGCUUCUCAACGAUGGACAAUGCUCGGGGGACGUCGUGAAGGAAUGC